GCUGGAUGAGUUACUUUCCCUUUUCAUGCCUAUUUUAACAUAUUCCCUCUGGAUAAAAAUUCUAGAUUUGCAGGGCUACAAACAGUAGAGCUGUCUUUGGUCCCUCCCUGGAGGCGCUUCAAUUGCUGGCGAGAUGGCUGCCUCAAGGCAACUUUGCUCACAGAGGAUCACAGGAAAAAGCUCUUCAGUUCGAGAGGUAUUUACCUAUUGAUUAGGUUCCUCUGUGCGUCGGUACUAUCGAGAGGAAGCUGAUGUCGUAACUCCGGUCCUUUUUCACUUUCUUAAAUUUUUUUCCUCCCAAAUGAAAAGUGGGUGAAUGAAUGAAAAUCCACUGACCAUCAAAUGUAUUUUACACUCUGAAACAUUCCCCAUUUUUGUGAGUGCAAAUUAAUUCAAAUAGGAUUUCCCUUCCUAACGGCACAAUCAACUGCACUGUCUUCAAAAAGAGAUGUGGACUGCUUGAAAAUGAGACGCUUGUGUCACAAGGACAUUGCACAUGGACACAGAGCAGCAUGAUGGUUUCCAAGCCACACGCAUCAUGCCAGGCAGACCCCACCGCUAAGGCUAGAAGGAACUCUGGUGAAGCACUGACUCCAAACAAAGAGGGACUUUGGUCCAGCAACCCCGUCCCACCCUACAGCAGACGGGCUGGGGCCUGGACGCUCUACAACAGGACACAGAAUCACUUAUCUAUUUCUCAAGACCAAAGAAGACAUCGGACCCUUGUCAAACUCCAGCACCUAUUGGGGGAACCUAAGGAGGCAUAAGUGCCAUGUUAACCUUUGGGCCAAGAGGCAGUAGAGUGCAAGAGAUGGGCUCAGUUCUUGUCCACCUUACUAACCAAGCAAAUUUUAUCUUUUCAAAACUCAAUGUCUUCCUCUGUAAAAUCAAGUUAGUCUCACAGCGUUAACCUCACAGGAUUGUGGAGAGGGCAAGAUGAUGAUGUAUGCAAAGCACUUAUUCUAGUGCUGAUAGAGAAUAAGGAUUAAAAUGUUUUCUCUUUUCUCUCUUCUCCUUUAUAUAUCUGUACAGUGCUCUAGAAUUAACAGAUGAUAUUCCCAUUUACAAAGCAUGUUCAGACACAGUCUCAUUAACAAUACUUCUCACAAUAAUACUGCAAGGUAGCUAUUAUUAUCCUCAGGCUAAAGAGAGGGAAACUAAGGCCAGUCUAACCCUGCACUCUCGGGAGACUGUAGAACUGUGUCAGUGCUGAUGGCAGCUGAAGGCUUCAGGACUUGAGUACAGCUGGAAGAUCCAAGAUGUAAAACAAAUAUCUAUGAUUAGUUACUUGAUUUGGCUGAAAAUUUCCAUAGUUCAUCUACGGGCUGAGAAGAUUUCUGAUUCCCUCUUUGGCAGCGUAGGCUCCAAGCACCUGUUUACUGACUGCUCUUCACAAGGCACAGCUGCCCACCUCAUGCAUGUCAACUCUGGGGUAUGAUGAAAAUGUUUGUGGGUAUCAUAAAGUUCUGGUCUCCUCCUCCCUGUGCAAAAGUGUGGCAGGGAGAUGGUGACUUGGUAGGUUGUAACCUGUGGUAAACACAAACGAAGCUGUGUGUGUGUGUGUGUGUGUGUGUUGUGUGUGUGGUGGAAGGUGACUUGAGAGAGAGGGAGCAGGGGGUGGUUACAGAUGGACACACACCUGGGACAUAUUGGACCAUGUGCUCAGUAACCCUCAUCAGACCAAGCAUUUCCAGCAAUUAACAGGUCUGUCACAACCUGACCGCUCUCCUACUGACUUCUCUAGCCCCUAUUUUCACUGCUCACUUGGCACAGUAUUGUUUUGUACUAUUAUUUAAUUUGUGAGAGCCCAACUAUACUACAAGAUUUAGAAGAACAACACGGAAUUAUAUGUCUCGGUAUGGACUCUAGUGCUUUGCACACUGCUCUGUACAUAGGUGGUAUUCAAUAAACUCCUUAUGUGACUUGAUGG
rnacentral:lncRNA from 1 species